CCUACGGGAGGCAGCAGUGGGGAAUUUUGGACAAUGGGCGCAAGCCUGAUCCAGCAAUGCCGCGUGAGUGAAGAAGGCCUUCGGGUUGUAAAGCUCUUUUGUCAGGGAAGAAACGGUCUACUCUAAUACAGUGGGCUAAUGACGGUACCUGAAGAAUAAGCACCGGCUAACUACGUGCCAGCAGCCGCGGUAAUACGUAGGGUGCAAGCGUUAAUCGGAAUUACUGGGCGUAAAGCGUGCGCAGGCGGUUAUAUAAGUCAGAUGUGAAAUCCCCGGGCUCAACCUGGGAACUGCAUUUGAGACUGUAUGGCUAGAGUGUGUCAGAGGGGGGUAGAAUUCCACGUGUAGCAGUGAAAUGCGUAGAUAUGUGGAGGAAUACCGAUGGCGAAGGCAGCCCCCUGGGAUAACACUGACGCUCAUGCACGAAAGCGUGGGGAGCAAACAGGAUUAGAUACCCUGGUAGUCCACGCCCUAAACGAUGUCUACUAGUUGUCGGGACUUAAUUGUCUUGGUAACGCAGCUAACGCGUGAAGUAGACCGCCUGGGGAGUACGGUCGCAAGAUUAAAACUCAAAAUGAAUUGACGG
rnacentral:rRNA from 1 species